UUUCUGAUAGUAGAUUGGUUAGUACAUGCACCUGUCAUAAAUCGUGCGGGUGCUACAUAUUGCGCAACAGCUGGGUUCAAUUCCCAGUCAGAGAG